rnacentral:rRNA from 1 species
GCCCUUGGAAGGGGUGUAUUUAUUAGAUUAAAAACCAAUGCCCUUCGGGGCUCACUGGUGAUUCAUGAUAACUCCUCGAAUCGCAUGGCCUUGUGCCGGCGAUGGUUCAUUCAAAUUUCUUCCCUAUCAGCUUUCGAUGUUUGGGUAUUGGCCAAACAUGGUUGCAACGGGUAACGGAGGGUUAGGGCUCGACCCCGGAGAAGGAGCCUGAGAAACGGCUACUACAUCCAAGGAAGGCAGCAGGCGCGCAAAUUACCCAAUCCCGACACGGGGAGGUAGUGACAAUAAAUACUGAUACAGGGCUCUUUUGGGUCUUGUAAUUGGAAUGAGUACAAUUUAAAUCCCUUAACGAGGAACAAUUGGAGGGCAAGUCUGGUGCCAGCAGCCGCGGUAAUUCCAGCUCCAAUAGCGUGUAUUAAAGUUGUUGUGGUUAAAAAGCUCGUAGUUGAACCUUGGGCCUGGCUGGCCGGUCCGCCUCACCGCGUGUACUGGUCCGGCCGGGCCUUUCCCUCUGUGGAACCCCAUGCCCUUCACUGGGUGUGGCGGGGAACCAGGACUUUUACAAGGGC